rnacentral:rRNA from 1 species
UGGGGAAUAUUGCACAAUGGGCGGAAGCCUGAUGCAGCAACGCCGCGUGAGGGAUGACGGCCUUCGGGUUGUAAACCUCUUUUAGCAGGGAAGAAGCGAGAGUGACGGUACCUGCAGAAAAAGCGCCGGCUAACUACGUGCCAGCAGCCGCGGUAAUACGUAGGGCGCAAGCGUUAUCCGGAAUUAUUGGGCGUAAAGAGCUCGUAGGCGGUUUGUCGCGUCUGCUGUGAAAUCCCGAGGCUCAACCUCGGGCCUGCAGUGGGUACGGGCAGACUAGAGUGCGGUAGGGGAGAUUGGAAUUCCUGGUGUAGCGGUGGAAUGCGCAGAUAUCAGGAGGAACACCGAUGGCGAAGGCAGAUCUCUGGGCCGUAACUGACGCUGAGGAGCGAAAGGGUGGGGAGCAAACAGGCUUAGAUACCCUGGUAGUCCACCCCGUAAACGUUGGGAACUAGUUGUGGGGACCAUUCCACGGUUUCCGUGACGCAGCUAACGCAUUAAGUUCCCCGCCUGGGGAGUACGGCCGCAAGGCUAAAACUUGAAAUGAAUUGACGGGGUCAUAGCU